rnacentral:rRNA from 1 species
AGUGAACGCUGGCGGUAGGCCUAACACAUGCAAGUCGAACGGCAGCACAGAGGAGCUUGCUCCUUGGGUGGCGAGUGGCGGACGGGUGAGGAAUACAUCGGAAUCUACUCUGUCGUGGGGGAUAACGUAGGGAAACUUACGCUAAUACCGCAUACGACCUACGGGUGAAAGCAGGGGACCUUCGGGCCUUGCGCGAUUGAAUGAGGCGAUGUCGGAUUAGCUAGUUGGCGGGGUAAAGGCCCACCAAGGCGACGAUCCGUAGCUGGUCUGAGAGGAUGAUCAGCCACACUGGAACUGAGCCACGGUCCAGACUCCUACGGGAGGCAGCAGUGGGGAAUAUUGGACAAUGGGCGCAAGCCUGAUCCAGCCAUACCGCGUGGGUGAAGAGGGCCUUCGGGUUGUAAAGCCCUUUUGUUGGGAAAGAAAUCCAGCUGGCUAAUACCCGGUUGGGAUGACGGUACCCAAAGAAUAAGCACCGGCUAACUUCGUGCCAGCCGCCGCGGUAA